rnacentral:rRNA from 1 species
UGGCUCAGGAUGAACGCUGGCGGCGUGCUUAACACAUGCAAGUCGAACGGUGAAGGAGAGCUUGCUCUCCGGAUCAGUGGCGAACGGGUGAGUAACACGUGAGCAAUCUGCCCCUGACUCUGGGAUAAGCGCUGGAAACGGCGUCUAAUACCGGAUACGAGCUGCGAAGGCAUCUUCAGCAGCUGGAAAGAACUUCGGUCAGGGAUGAGCUCGCGGCCUAUCAGCUAGUUGGUGAGGUAAUGGCUCACCAAGGCGUCGACGGGUAGCCGGCCUGAGAGGGUGACCGGCCACACUGGGACUGAGACACGGCCCAGACUCCUACGGGAGGCAGCAGUGGGGAAUAUUGCACAAU